CUCUCUUUGUAUAAUAUAAAUAAAGAGUUGGGCCUGCUCGGUGAAACGUUUUAACAGCUGCGGUAUUUUAACUGUACUAAGGUAGCAUAAUAAUUUGCCUUAUAAUUUGAGGCUAGAAUGAAUGGUUUGACGAAGGUUAAUCUGUCUCUGCUUUAUUUUUUAGAAAUUAAUUUUCAUAGUGAAAAAGCUUGAAUUUCUUAAGGGGACGAGAAGACCCUACUGAGCUUAUAAUUUUAUUAUCACAUAUAUUUAUGUAUAAUGUGCUAUAUAAAUUUUAAUUGGGGUGAUUAAGGAAUAAUAUAGCUAUUUUAUAACUUCCUUAGAUAUUAUAUUGUUGAAUUAAGUAACCGAUUAAUUAAUAGAAUUGUAUUAUGUAUUGCUUAUAAUAUAGUUACCAUAGGGAUAACAGCGUAAUUUACUUAGAGAGUUCUUAUUGAAAAGUAAGAUUGCGACCUCGAUGUUGGAUUAAAGUGACCUUAAGGUGCAGAAGCUUUAUGAGGUAAAUCUGUUCGAUUUUUAAAACUUU
rnacentral:rRNA from 1 species